rnacentral:rRNA from 1 species
GGAUAACACUGAGAAAUUGGUACUAAUGCCCCAUAACAUCAGGACCGGCAUCGGUUCUGGUUGAAAACUCCGGUGGUUAUGGAUGGGCAUGCGUUGUAUUAGCUGGUUGGUGAGGUAACGGCUCACCAAGGCAACGAUACAUAGGGGGACUGAGAGGUUAACCCCCCACAUUGGUACUGAGACACGGACCAAACUCCUACGGGAGGCAGCAGUGAGGAAUAUUGGUCAAUGGACGCAAGUCUGAACCAGCCAUGCCGCGUGCAGGAAGACGGCUCUAUGAGUUGUAAACUGCUUUUGUACGAGAGUAAACGCUCUUACGUGUAAGAGCCUGAAAGUAUCGUACGAAUAAGGAUCGGCUAACUCCGUGCCAGCAGCCGCGGUAAUACGGAGGAUCCAAGCGUUAUCCGGAUUUAUUGGGUUUAAAGGGUGCGUAGGCGGUUUGAUAAGUUAGAGGUGAAAUACCGGUGCUUAACACCGGAACUGCCUCUAAUACUGUUGAACUAGAGAGUAGUUGCGGUAGGCGGAAUGUAUGGUGUAGCGGUGAAAUGCUUAGAGAUCAUACAGAACACCGAUUGCGAAGGCAGCUUACCAAACUAUAUCUGACGUUGAGGCACGAAAGCGUGGGGAGCAAACAGGAUUAGAUACCCUGGUAGUCCACGCAGUAAACGAUGAUAACUCGCUGUCGGCGAUACACAGUCGGCGGCUAAG